AGUUUAUUUUAAAGGUUAUACGUGUUUUUGUGUGUUAUCAGUGUUAGAAUAUUACUGCUACUGAAACUAACACAGCAUGGAUUUCAAGAUCCUCCCAUUAAGAGAGGCACUGGAUCUGCCAGUUGAAUCAACAGCCAGCAUAGCAGUCCAGGUGCUUACAUGCAGUGAAAUCCAGUCAUAUAAGAAUCGGCAGCAAGAAGAAAGACGGUUCUUCACUGUUGAAGUAGCAGACAGCACAGCAAGCACAGAUGUGCGAUGAUUCAUGCUAAAGCAUCUUGAAAACUUCAAGCCUGGCAGUAACGUCUUGUUACAAAAUCUGCUCAGAAAAUCUGGAGAGUAGCCUUCCUGGGCUAUCAGUACAACAAAAGUUGUGCAGUGGGCAAAUGUUGUCGUGCCAGAUAACAUCAAACAGGCAGCGCGCAACAAAACUCCGACAAAAUCUGUCAUGAAUCUCAGCGAAGCUCUCAAUGCAACUUCACCAUCCAAUGUCAUUGGAAAAGUUCUUAUGACCAAAUGGAGGCAGCACACAUCCUUUGUGGAUUGAUGACCUUGGCAAAGUGGUUAUAUUCUUUGACUGGUUGGAGAACACCAAGUGACCCCUGAAGUCCAUUCCAAACUUGAGGAAAUAUCAUCACUUCAGAACCAGUGAGUGAAUUCAUGAGAGAGCAUGCCAAGGACAGUGAGAUUGAAGUUAAAAUUGACAAGCCCACAACAAUGGCUUUUCCAUGGAGAGUACCCUGAACGCAACCAACUAAAAGGACUUAAUGCAAAAAGGCUCUGAUCCCUUAAAUAAGUGAAAAAACUAAUAUACUGAUAUGUGAUCUUUAUAAACUAAUUAUAAGAUUUGAGAAUGAGCCCGUUACUGAGCUGAUGAAAACGUGUAUCAAUUUUUUAUUGACAAUUAUUUAUUCAAUAGAAACAUGUUCAUGUGAAAUGAAGCUACCAGUGAUUUUGAGUGGUUUUAGCAAAUGAGUGAUAGAAGGGUGCUACACCCUGUCUUUUGUUGGUAGAGCCCCUCUGCCAUAAUGGAGACCACUAUAUGAUUAUUAUUAAUACAAACUUAAAACAA